AUACGGAGGGUGCAAGCGUUAAUCAGAAUUACUGGGCGUAAAGCGCGCGUAGGCGGUCAUGUAAGUCGGGUGUGAAAUCCCCGGGCUCAACCUGGGAACUGCAUUCGAUACUGUAUGACUUGAGUUUGGUAGAGGGGAGUGGAAUUCCACAUGUAGCGGUGAAAUGCGUAGAUAUGUGGAGGAACACCAGUGGCGAAGGCGACUCCCUGGCCAAAAACUGACGCUGAGGUGCGAAAGCGUGGGUAGCAAACAGGAUUAGAAACCCUAGUAGUCC
rnacentral:rRNA from 1 species